GAUGAACGCUGGCGGCGUGCCUAACACAUGCAAGUCGAGCGAUGAAGUUUCCUUCGGGAAACGGAUUAGCGGCGGACGGGUGAGUAACACGUGGGCAACCUGCCUUAUAGAGGGGAAUAGCCUUCCGAAAGGAAGAUUAAUACCGCAUAAUAUUAUCGGAUGGCAUCAUCUGAUAAUCAAAGGAGCAAUCCGCUAUAAGAUGGGCCCGCGUCGCAUUAGUUAGUUGGUGGGGUAAUGGCCUACCAAGACGACGAUGCGUAGCCGACCUGAGAGGGUGAUCGGCCACAUUGGGACUGAGACACGGCCCAGACUCCUACGGGAGGCAGCAGUGGGGAAUAUUGCACAAUGGGGGAAACCCUGAUGCAGCAACGCCGCGUGAGCGAUGAAGGUCUUCGGAUCGUAAAGCUCUGUCUUUAGGGAUGAUAAUGACAGUACCUAAGGAGGAAGCCACGGCUAACUACG
rnacentral:rRNA from 1 species